UCUAAGGGGGAAAAGUUUUGUUCGCCCCAAGAAAGAAAUAAAAAAAUAAGAAAGAAAUAAAAAAAUAGAUAAAGAAAAGCAAAUUGACGAAUGCAUCAACUGUUGCUGUGUGGCGUCUGUUGCUUGAAGCGAAUUCAGACGGUCGCGUGGUGAAAACAUUGAGCAGAAACCACUCGGCAAAAGCCUUGUGUGAGUCUAGGAAGAGGACCAGGCGUCGUCAGUUAAGACUAUUAGGUAAGGUUUUUUUUUCUGAUUGGAAAAAAAAGAACGAUCAUCAGAUUGGAUUCAACGAUGGUGCGCUAACACAGAGUGAUUGAAGAACCAAGAACAUUGAUAAUUCUGGAAUAACAGACGGACUGUCUGUCUGGUAGGAUUGUAUCAGUCAUCGGACUGGUACAUACAUUUUUUUUUCUUCGAAAAGAGUGCACUCCAACGAACAUUUGGAACAAAUCUAUUGCAAUAGUAAAAACUUCAGACAUUUAAUUAGCUGCCAUUGCAACUAAUAAGGGACGAUUUUGACUUUGACGAAUAAUUGACUGACACCCGAACCAAAGACUAUUUUUCUAUUUUUGUUUGUUUUUGAUUACUAGUUCA